rnacentral:rRNA from 1 species
AAAUUCCCUAUUUGGGGGAUACCCUGGAAAGGGGGUUAAUCCCCUUGAGCCUCGGGCCAAAAAGGGGCCUUCGGCCUUCCGGUCCGAAAAGCCAGGGGGAUAACUAGUGGGGAGGUAAGGGUUCCCCAGGCGACGAUCCCUAGCUGGUUGAGAGGAUGAUCAGCCACCCGGAAAUGAGACACGUUCCAGAUUCCUACGGGAGGCAGCAGUGGGAAUAUGCACAAUGGGCGCAAGCCUGAUGCAGCCAUGCCGCGUGUAUGAAGAAGGCCUUCGGGUUGUAAAGCACUUUCAGUCGUGAGGAAGGCGUGUAGUUAAUAGCUGCAUCGUUUGACGUUAGCGACAGAAGAAGCACCGGCUAACUCCGUGCCAGCAGCCGCGGUAAUACGGAGGGUGCGAGCGUUAAUCGGAAUUACUGGGCGUAAAGCGCAUGCAGGUGGUUUGUUAAGUCAGAUGUGAAAGCCCGGGGCUCAACCUCGGAAUAGCAUUUGAAACUGGCAGACUAGAGUACUGUAGAGGGGGGUAGAAUUUCAGGUGUAGCGGUGAAAUGCGUAGAGAUCUGAAGGAAUACCGGUGGCGAAGGCGGCCCCCUGGACAGAUACUGACACUCAGAUGCGAAAGCGUGGGGAGCAAACAGGAUUAGAUACCCUGGUAGUCCACGCCGUAAACGAUGUCUACUUGGAGGUUGUGGCCUUGAGCCGUGGCUUUCGGAGCUAACGCGUUAAGUAGACCGCCUGGGGAGUACGGUCGCAAGAUUAAAACUCAAAUGAAUUGACGGGGGCCCGCACAAGCGGUGGAGCAUGUGGUUUAAUUCGAUGCAACGCGAAGAACCUUACCUACUCUUGACAUCCAGAGAACUUUCCAGAGAUGGAUUGGUGCCUUCGGGAACUCUGAGACAGGUGCUGCAUGGCUGUCGUCAGCUCGUGUUGUGAAAUGUUGGGUUAAGUCCCGCAACGAGCGCAACCCUUAUCCUUGUUUGCCAGCGAGUAAUGUCGGGAACUCCAGGGAGACUGCCGGUGAUAAACCGGAGGAAGGUGGGGACGACGUCAAGUCAUCAUGGCCCUUACGAGUAGGGCUACACACGUGCUACAAUGGCGCAUACAGAGGGCGGCCAACUUGCGAGAGUGAGCGAAUCCCAAAAAGUGCGUCGUAGUCCGGAUUGGAGUCUGCA